UUGGGUACCCAGGGGAGGGACUGCAGCUCACCCCUCUGCCUUGUUCAUGUACCACCUUUACAAUUGAACAGAUGCAGCACAAAAAUACCAGCUCAGGGCAAACAGCUGCAGGUACUUGGACCCUGAGCUCACCAGUGAGAGGCACAUCGGGUGCAGACACCUUGCUGAGAAGAGUCUUUGGCUGAAGAAACAAAAUCCUUUUUGGACAGCAGCAUUCUGCCCCUCUGCCACUGCUGUUGCAGUGCAGAUGUCAGGAAGUUCACGCUGCUGGUGGACGUUUGCAGAGUGAAUCAUGGGGCACCACUUUCCAUUUUGACAAAAACAACUGCUGCUCAGUCAACAAGAUGCUGCUGAUCAAAUGGGUGGAUGGAACUCCUGCAACUGCUGCCAAAAAGGCUCCACCAGCACAAGCAAGCUGUGUGAGCUGGCUUGGAGAACUGGGAUUUAUUUUCCCUUCCAUGUUCUUAAGAGACUACUCACAGUUUUAUGUUCCUACCCAACACCUGAGGGGCUCAGCCUGUGGCUACCAGCUUUGACCUGCAAGUGGAGAAAAUGCUUGUUGCUGGAAGAGACUAGAAUAGUUAAAUUGGGGUGAAAAAAGGCAGAUAAUGUUUUAUGGAACAUGGAGUGCUACAGGAGACAAGAAAAACAGCUUCCUCUGGUGCCUAUUGCCAAAAUUUCAGAAGACCAGACAACAACUUGAGAAUUUCCAAGGGAACAGCCACUGAGUCAGUCAAAAAUAGAAUUAGGAAACUGCCUGUUUCAAAAGUAAGUCUGUAAGAUAUGCCAGCAUUUUUCAGUAUCUCUGUAAUUUCUGACUAGAACACUCAAGAGUUAACAAACAUUUAUCUACCCAAAAAAAAAAAAAAGUCAACCCACAGAAAAAGGCAAAAUGAGAAAGGAAAUCUAUGUAGCAAAGAAACACUCAUCAUAUUUCAUAUACUUAAAAUAAAAAUCAUUGAUAGCUUUUCCAUGCAUUUAUGCAAAGUUUAUUAUUUGCAAUUUUCAAACAUCUCUACUUUCUUAGGCAUCAUCAACAAGCAAGGACAGCUUUCCUGCAGUCAGCCUGUUAUUCAAAAUGUGGAUAAAUCAGGACAUGCAAAGAAGGCAAUACUGAGUGCUCUUCCCUGAAAGAGGACAAUAAGACUUAUACUGUUCCUUUUUACUAACUGAUUUUUUUUUUUUUUAUUUCAGUGAUUAAAAUCAAGAAAGGCUUAAGGGAAAGGGAGUAACUUUCUAUUUUAUUAUUCCUCACUGUUAGUUUUCUGCUAUAUCGGUUAUAAUGUGGCACUCAUUAACAAUGCAUAGAGAAUUACCAUAUUCAAGUAGCACAGCAAGUUUUUACUACCUACCCAGGCAAAAUCCUGCACAACCCUACUUGCUCCCUUUACUUAUUGUCCCAGAGGGAUCUCAUGCUGGAAGAGCUGGCAUUCUAUCACCUAACGGGAGAGGAAUUCCAACAGGUUAGAAACUCCAAGGAGCCCGGAACAGGAAAACAUUCCAUUAAAUCGCUGCCAAUGCAGAGCUGCACGGCAAAAAGAAGCUCUGGAGAUGUGUGCUGGAGGCUGCCUUGGAAUUAAAAACCCCGGCGGGAUUCCGGAGCGAUGUCCCACUGCUUUGAACUUCUCGGUGCGUUUCAGGGGGAUGCAAAUGAGAGACCGGAGGUGUGGGCUUUGUCUCCGAGGGAUUCCCGCUGGAAAUGCCGACAGACAGAACGGGAGCGGAGCUGUGGGAUCCCCUCGACCCACGGGGAGCAUCCCGGGGAGCCCAGCGGGAACCCAACCAGGACAAACCCACAGACGGAACUCAGAAGCACGAGGAGAGGAACGAGCCCUCUCAUGCAGAUCAGGAGGGCAGAAAAACGGCUCUUGGCAAGAUUUGAUUCCCCACACAGCAAUGCCUUGGAGUGCCCACCUCGUGUUUCCUCUCUGCAUCUUUUACAGACACUCGAUCAGUAUCGGUUGAUCACUGCAGUAGCUUAAUAACUCAUCUAUUUUACAGGUCAGGAAAUGAAAGCACCUAAAUUACUGAAUAAAUAUUACAAAUUAGCAAGGGUCUACAGUGCUCAUCGAUUUUAACUCCCAUCUAAAUCAGCAGUUUUGACAGACAUGCACACUGUUAUGCAGAGGCACCCAGAAAUUCAGCAUAGAAAUUUGGCUUUGAUGAUGUAAUCAAACUUAGAAAAAAGAGAGAAUCUAAAUUAAAGUUCAACAAUUCCUUUCUUCUAGACAGCUUGUAGGAACAAACAUGUUUGCUACUGCUUAAACUUUUAAAUCAGCUUAGCAGGCUUGAGAAAUGGAACCAUGCAGCUGAAAUUUGAAGUGCCCAAACACUGAGACCCUCCCAGCAUUAACCACAAUGCUACAGAGGAACCAUUAAGAAACAAGUAGUGGUAUAAUGCAGGUAAAUUCCAUUCUGAGAGCCAGGUUCUGCUUUCAAGACUUCUUACAAAAGUAUUUCCUUGGAUCUCUUGGUUGGCAAUCAUAAUCCCUUCAGAUUUUAAACCCUCAGUGCAAAUCUGGCACUCAAUAUACCUUAUAACUAAAAUGAAUUAGAAGCAUCCUUAAACUCAGCAAAAAAAGGUCUUGGCAUGUGGCUCACGUUGCCUACGGGGCAGGUAAGGACAAAUAUGAACACUUCACCAGCAUGAGCUCAUCCUGCAGGCACAAUCUUCCCAUCAAACGUGCUCAGUGCCACUCGUGCUGGCUCUGCUGUGCCAGUUGUCCCCCCACACAAAGAGGAUGCAAAGUGCUCCUCUCCUCAAGGUCUCCUUUUCUCGUGCAGCACAGCCACACCAAACAGCUCACACCAGAGCAAAAGCCCCCCUUACCAAAAGCCCUAAAUGCCCAGAAGCAGGAGGCACGGGCAAUGAAGUGGGGAAACAGCAGGAAUAGGUGCUCAGUUUUCCAUGUUUCUAUAAAAGCAAGUGAUAAUUUAAAAUCUCCAGCAGAUACUAUAGCAGGAGGGCAAUGAAGCAAGAGAACAGAUUGCAUGAAAGGAAGAAGUGCCCUAUGGAGUUUGUGACCUGUUUACCAUAAGUAAAUAAAUAAAUGAAAGCAAAACAACCCCCUGAGGUGACAGUUUGCAUGAGGGACAUUAGUGACUCUGUCAUGUGGAAGCCUAUAGAAACAACUGUCAUUACAGAGCAAGGGAUUGAUUUGCCACACAACAGGAACUCAGGAGAGAAAGCAGAUGUGAAAGAAGGGAAGAGGAAGAUUUGGAAAUGAGGACAGCAGGGAAGUCACUCUGAAUAUUGCCCAGCUAACACCACUGCCCUGGUACAGAGCAGCUGAAGGCCAAGAGGAAAACCGAGCAGUUUGAGAACACCAUGAAAUGAAGAGAGAGCACACAACCCAGGUCAAUUCUUUCUACUCCCCACUGAAUCACUCAGCAACUCCUCCUGCUCCUGUGGCAGGUGGAAUAUCACAAUUUUGCAUCCUUCAUUAGGGUUAAUUAGUUCACUUGCUGACAGUGUUGAAAGAAAGGCCAAGUGUUGGCUCAGCCAGAGGGAGUGACAUCUUCAGUUCCUGCAGGAGCCUGCUGUCCAAGGAAAGCCUGUGGAACUGUCCUCUAUUCCCUGAUCUGAGGACUGGCUCCAGAAUAAAUCUUAUUCCUUUCAGUUCCACUACCAUCCACUGCUAUCAAAAAUCAGGAAUAUGUUAUUUUGUCCUCUUUGAUCUCAUUCAAACCGUGAAAACAACAGUCUAAGCAUUUUGCCCUGCCGUAUCUCGGGGAGAUGGAAACCUUUUACCAGCAAGAAAUUCUUACAGCAGUUACCAUGGUGACUCUGGUAAUAGAUAUUUAAAGGCAGCUCACUCAAUCACAUUCAUUAGAUAUCAGGAGGCUUUAGUAAGAGAGGCACAAAAAGCUUGAAACCAGGGAGCCAACCAGGCUUGGUGAUGGUAUAAGAAAUUUCUGGGGAGGGAUCUGCUUAUUCCAUCAUUUAGCUGGACACAAAGGGCUCCUGUUCAAAUCUGGAAUGGCACUGAAGCUUGCAGAAUAAACUAUUUUUAGUUUGUCAAUUUAAAAA